GAUGAACGCUGGCGGCAUGCCUAAUACAUGCAAGUCGUGCGAGAAACUACUUUCGGGUAGUGGAAAGCGGCGGACGGGUGAGUAACGCGUAGAAACAUACCCCAAGGUGAGGGAUAAGCAUCGGAAACGGUGUCUAAUACCGCAUACUGUCUACGGACAAAAGAUUUAUCGCCAUGGGAAUGGUCUGCGUCUGAUUAGCUAGUUGGUAGGGUAAAGGCCUACCAAGGCGAUGAUCAGUAGCUGGUUUGAGAGGAUGAUCAGUCACACUGGAACUGAGACACGGUCCAGACUCCUACGGGAGGCAGCAGUGGGGAAUAUUGCACAAUGGACGAAAGUCUGAUGCAGCAACGCCGCGUGGAGGAUGACACAUUUCGGUGCGUAAACUCCUUUUAUAUGAGAAGAUAAUGACGGUAUUAUAUGAAUAAGCACCGGCUAACUCCGUGCCAGCAGCCGCCGUAA
rnacentral:rRNA from 1 species